UAACACAUAGUUUAAUUAAGAAUGGAUGUUUUGGGGAUAUUUGGUUUGUUUUACAAUGUGUUAA
rnacentral:tRNA from 1 species